GUGAGACAGGUGCUGCAUGGCUGUCGUCAGCUCGUGUUGUGAAAUGUUGGGUUAAGUCCCGCAACGAGCGCAACCCUUAUCCUUUGUUGCCAGCGGUUAGGCCGGGAACUCAAAGGAGACUGCCAGUGAUAAACUGGAGGAAGGUGGGGAUGACGUCAAGUCAUCAUGGCCCUUACGACCAGGGCUACACACGUGCUACAAUGGCGCAUACAAAGAGAAGCGACCUCGCGAGAGCAAGCGGACCUCAUAAAGUGCGUCGUAGUCCGGAUUGGAGUCUGCAACUCGACUCCAUGAAGUCGGAAUCGCUAGUAAUCGUGGAUCAGAAUGCCACGGUGAAUACGUUCCCGGGCCUUGUACACACCGCCCGUCACACCAUGGGAGUGGGUUGCAAAAGAAGUAGGUAGCUUAACCUUCGGGAGGGCGCUUACCACUUUGUGAUUCAUGACUGGGGUGAAGUCGUAACAAGGUAACCGUAGGGGAACCUGCGGUUGGAUCACCUCCUUACCUUAAAGAAGC
rnacentral:rRNA from 4 species